GCAUCUUGAAGAGAAAAGGGGAGGAGAAAAAAUCCAAUUUCGGGAAGAGAACAUAAGGAAAAAGAGAAAAAAGGAGAAGAGGCAAAAGAGGGUUUCUUGAAGAAUUUAGGCUUGGGCUAAAUAUUCCGUGCAGCACCCCUGGUUUUUCAUCUUUACCACCCUACGUUUCUUUUAUUUUAUUUUAUUUUAUUUUCUGCAGCCUUAUUUUUUAUUUUCUUAAUUAUAAUGUUUGUCUCUCUUUAUAUUAUUGUCUUUGGGUACCCCAUAAUUGUUAAUCCACAUCCCUAGUCUCGUGCUUUGUUUAUUUUUAUUUUUAUUUUAUUUCUUUUUUUUUACUUGUUUUUACUUUAUCUUUUACGCGUGGAUCACUGCAUACACUUUUUUUAAUUCUCACUACAUAUGUUUUGCGCGUUAAAAUUUUAUUGUCUAUUUUAAAAGCUUUUAUGGCAAAAAAAUAUAUAUUUACGAAAGUCUAAAAAUAAAUGAAUAUAGUUUUAAUUUAUUUGUUAUUUAAUACGUUAUUUUUCUUUAUGUAAAUAUUAUUAUUACAUUAUUGUUUUAUUUUAAAUACUUAGAUAAACAUAAUUUUA
rnacentral:lncRNA from 1 species